CACAUGAGGAAUUGCAAUGGAAGCAGCACUGGGUUUUGAUAAGCUCCAGUUGUGCUUCUCUGGGUUUGUACUGUGACUGGUCAACAUGGCACUGAGAGUUGAAAUAUGGAGCUUCACAAAGAUAACAGUGGUAACAAAAUACACAUUGAAGACAACAAAUGCGAAUUUAUGAGCUAGGAACUUUUUGGCAUGAACAUCUACGGAGUCUGAGCUAAAGAUGGUGAGCAUAUGGGAAAGCCAGGAGGAAGCAUACAAUGUUAAUUUCCAAACUCAC